rnacentral:misc_RNA from 1 species
UUAAGUUCAGCGGGUAGCCCUACCUGAUUUGAGGCCAGAUCAUGAGAUAUGUUGGGUUGUCAGCCACUCGAAAGGAUGAAACGUAUUACAUCCAAAGUUGCUUAUGCUUUUCAGGCGAGCCAUUAACGGCAGACGCCCAAUCCACCACCGCUCGGGCAAAAACCCAAGUGGGGUGAGGUUUCAUGACACUCAAACAGGCA